ACGCCACUCCACAGAAGAGUUUUCAGACACCAGCAUCGAUCCCAGCCUACAGACAGCAUGAUAAUAGACUAGAGGAGCUGCAGGAGAAAUACAACCAAGAGGUAGAAGAAAGAAAAAGACUGGAAAGUGAACUCAAAGUCUUGCAGGUCAAACUGUUGAAUCAGUCUUCAGUCAGUGUAAGCCACAAGGACAUUGCUGCCCGACAAGCCGGGUCUUCCAUUUUCCUAUGGCAACAGCAGGAUUCUGCCCAUCGCCGCCAGUCUCAGGACAUAAUGGAAACACCUCUAA